GUAGGUGGCAAGCGUUGUCCGGAAUUAUUGGGCGUAAAGCGCGCGCAGGCGGUUCUUUAAGUCUGAUGUGAAAGCCCACGGCUCAACCGUGGAGGGUCAUUGGAAACUGGAGAACUUGAGUACAGAAGAGGAAAGCGGAAUUCCACGUGUAGCGGUGAAAUGCGUAGAGAUGUGGAGGAACACCAGUGGCGAAGGCGGCUUUCUGGUCUGUAACUGACGCUGAGGCGCGAAAGCGUGGGGGGAGCAAACAGGAUUAGAUACCCUGGUUAGUCCACGCCGUAAACGAUGAGUGCUAAGUGUUAGGGGGGUUUUCCGCCCCCUUAGUGCUGCAGCUAACGCAUUAAGCACUCCGCCCUGGGAGUACGGCCGCAGGCUG
rnacentral:rRNA from 1 species